UGACCGCGUACUUUUUGUAGAACGGGCCAACGAGUUACGUUAAGUAGCAAGGUUAAGCACUUAAGGUGUGGAGCCGUAGCGAAAGCGAGUUUUAACUGAGCGUUCAGUUACUUGACGUAGACCCGAAACCGGGCGACCUACCCAUGAGCAGGAUGAAGCGAAAGUAAAAUUUCGGGGAGGUCCGAACCCACGAGCGUUGAAAAGCUCGGGGAUGACUUGUGGGUAGCGGUGAAAUUCCAAUCGAGCCCGGAGAUAGCUGGUUCUCCCCGAAAUAGCUUUAGGGCUAGCCUCAAGGUGAGAGAUACGGAGGUAGAGCACUGAAUGUCCUAGGGG
rnacentral:rRNA from 1 species